AUUAAUUACCAUAGCAACGGCCCCCAGGUGUUUGAGACCGACAGACACAGCUUCUGGAGGAUAACUUGUGAUUGGUUCAGAGAGGAUUGGUGGGAGGGCAUUGGAACUGCUCAGCGGUUUCAGCACAACGUGUUCAGCUGUGUUCAACAGAAGUUGGGGAGACGACACAAUGUUUUCCUAUGAGAUUUAAACUCAUUGUUUUUUCUAACAGGCCUGCAACGUUUUCACACUCUCAGGGAGUUGAUGUCCAGCCUGUUGCGGUCCUGACACCUUCGCCGCGAGUCUGACCCACGCAGGACUUCAGGAUUUUUUUUCUUGGCGCACCACAGGAUUGCGACUGCUGUGGUUGUUUUCUCUGCUACUCUUGGGUCUCUUGGCCCGUCUUCGCUUCCUCAGCCGGCCCAUCAGCAGUGCUCUCCUCUGGAGUUUCGGGUGAAUGGAUCUCUGCAGGGACU